GAAUGUGUACUCGUGAAGCCUUAAUUGGAGCUGUUGUAUUUCUUUGUUCUUUUCCUGCAGCAAAUCCCCUUGUUUGAUCCCCUCUGCAGCACUCCUAUUUAAGAAUUUUGGUGUUAUUUGUAUUACUAGGUACUUGACCAUUAAUUUCAUCUUGUUCCCAUGUGACUACCUAGUACUUAUCUAAUAACUCCCAUUGUUUGAUUGUGGCAGGUACAUAUGCAAGAAUGCAGGUGCUGCCAUAUGGUGUGAAGACUUGCAGGAUUUGACUUGCUCUCUUUAGUGAGUCUUUGGUCUCCUAUUGUUAAAGAAAGGUGAGGGAAAGGCUUGGCUGCCACGUUGCUGUCCAAGACAUGGGCUUGCUGCCCUGGGCUCGACGGGCUGUUUGGAACGGGCCGUGAUUUGGGCUUGGGAGAAAGAGACCCAAAGUCCAAGCAAAAUAAGACUUUAGUUUCUUAAGCUCUAUUGGCCCAUUCAUGGGUAUUUUGUAAUAGUAUAGUAUCCCAUAUUCUUUUCUUCCCAUUCAUAAUUCAUACGUAAGAUGAUCAUGUAAGAUAAUGUAUUAUUCGAUAUGUAAGCGAACACAUUAGUUCGGGAAGGAUACCUUCACAUUCUUUUUCAAA